CUGAGAUAUGAAAACUAUUAAUAUAUGAUUAGUGUAGUCAUGAUUCACACACUCUAGGGGAAACAAAAUAACCCUCAUAAAAUUCAUCUAUCAUUAUUUUAUUUCAAUUAAAAAAAAGCAUACCACAAAAAUAAAAAGAUAGAUCUAAAAUCUUAUACAGAAAAGUUCAGUAACCCAUUCCGAAAUUGUAUCAACUACCCAAUUAAAAAAAAANNN
rnacentral:lncRNA from 1 species